CGGCGAGUGACAGGCAAGAGCUCAGAUUUGAAAGCCUCUCGGGGCAUUGUAUUCUGAAGCCUUGAUUCUGAGAAACGGUACCUAAGUCUUCUGGAAAGGAGCGCCAAGGAGGGUGAUAGCCCCGUACGGUACUGACCUCAUUGUAGAAUCUUGGCGUGGAGUCGAGUUGUUUGGGAAUGCAGCUCAAAUGGGUGGUAUGCUCCAUCUAAAGCUAAAUAUCUGCGAGAGACCGAUAGCGAACAAGUACUGUGAAGGAAAGAUGAAAAGAACUUUGAAAAGAGAGUGAAAAAGUACGUGAAAUUGUUGAAAUGGAAGGAUAGGCCGCUAACCACGUAGAGCCGUGUCUGAGGGGAGGAUAAAAGCUGUAGAAUGUGACUCUUCGGAGUGUUAUAGCUGCAGUGCAUACUCCCACUCGGGCGCGAGGACCUAAGGCUCUGCUAAAUGGUGGUCUAUCACCCGUCUUGAA
rnacentral:rRNA from 1 species